CAAAAGGACCCAUUAGGGUCCAUAAAAUUCAAAUUCAAAUUCAAAU
rfam:Musca domestica strain aabys unplaced genomic scaffold Scaffold18699, whole genome shotgun sequence.